rnacentral:misc_RNA from 1 species
GAUAAGAACGCAGCGAAAUGCGAUAAGUAGUGUGAAUUGCAGAAUUCAGUGAAUCAUCGAAUCUUUGAACGCACAUUGCGCCCCUUGGUAUUCCAUGGGGCAUGCCUGUUCGAGCGUCAUUUGUACCCUCCAGCCCUGCUGGGUAUUGGGCGUUUUGUUCCGCUACGCGCGUGAACUCGCCUCAAAUGCAUUGGCAGCCCGCCGUCCCGUGUGGGAGCGCAGCACAUUUUGCGCUCUCCGCUGCUGACGGUGGCAUCCACAAGUCUACCAUUUUACGCUUGACCUCGGAUCAGGUAGGGAUACCCGCUGAACUUAAGCAUAUCAAUAAGCGGAGGA